GAGGGUAUAUCUCAGUGGUAGAGUGCAUGCUUAGCAUGUACAAGCUUCUGGGUCCAAUUUCCAGUACCUCCA
rnacentral:tRNA from 1 species